rnacentral:rRNA from 1 species
AUUGAACGCUGGCGGCAGGCCUAACACAUGCAAGUCGAGCGACCGGCGGACGGGUGAGUAAUGUCUGGCAAACUGCCUGUUGGAGGGGGAUAACUACUGCGAACGGUAGCUAAUACCGCAUACCAUCAGAUGUGCCCAGAUGGGAUUAGCUAGUAGGUGGGGUAACGGCUCACCUAGGCGACGAUCCCUAGCUGGUCUGAGAGGAUGACCAGCCACACUGGAACUGAGACACGGUCCAGACUCCUACGGAAGGCAGCAGUGGGGAAUAUUGGACAAUGGGCGCAAGCCUGAUUGAGCAAUGACGCGUGUGUGAAGAAGGCCUUGGGGUUGUAAAGCACUUUCAGCGGGGAGGCGUUACCCGCAGAAGAAGCACCGGCUAACUCCGUGCCAGCAGCCGCGGUAAUUC